rnacentral:rRNA from 1 species
UACAGGGGGGGCAAGCGUUGUUCGGAAUUACUGGGCGUAAAGGGCUCGUAGGCGGCCAACUAAGUCACACGUGAAAUCCCCAGGCUUAACCUGGGAACUGCGUGUGAUACUGGAUGGCUUGAAUCCGGGAGAGGGAUGCGGAAUUCCAGGUGUAGCGGUGAAAUGCGUAGAUAUCUGGAGGAACACCGGUGGCGAAGGCGGCAUCCUGGACCGGUAUUGACGCUGAUGAGCGAAAGCCAGGGGAGCAAAACGGGG